AUGAACGCUGGCGGCGUGCCUCAUACAUGCAAGUCGAGCGAACGGACGAGAAGCUUGCUUUUCUGAUGUUAGCGGCGGACGGGUGAGUAACACGUGGAUAACCUACCUAUAAGACUGGGAUAACUUCGGGAAACCGGAGCUAAUAACGGAUAAUAUUUUGAACCGCAUGGUUCAAAAGUGAAAGACGGUAUUGCUGUCACUUAUAGAUGGAUCCGCGCUGCAUUAGCUAGUUGGUAAGGUAACGGCUUACCAAGGCAACGAUGCAUAGCCGACCUGAGAGGGUGAUCGGCCACACUGGAACUGAGACACGGUCCAGACUCCUACGGGAGGCAGCAGUAGGGAAUCUUCCGCAAUGGGCGAAAGCCUGACGGAGCAACGCCGCGUGAGUGAUGAAGGUCUUCGGAUCGUAAAACUCUGUUAUUAGGGAAGAACAUAUGUGUAAGUAACUGUGCACAUCUUGACGGUACCUAAUCAGAAAGCCACGGCUAACUACGUG
rnacentral:rRNA from 1 species